UACGUAGGGAGCAAGCGUUGUUCGGAAUUACUGGGCGUAAAGCGCACGUAGGCGGAUUUGUAAGUCAGGGGUGAAAUCCCGGGGCUCAACCUCGGAACUGCCUUUGAUACUGCAAGUCUUGAGUCCGAUAGAGGUGAGUGGAAUUCCUAGUGUAGAGGUGAAAUUCGUAGAUAUUAGGAAGAACACCAGUGGCGAAGGCGGCUCACUGGAUCGGUACUGACGCUGAGGUGCGAAAGCGUGGGGAGCAAACAGG
rnacentral:rRNA from 1 species